rnacentral:rRNA from 1 species
AAUCAACGCUGGCGGCGUGCCUAACACAUGCAAGUCGAACGCGAAAAUGGAGCAAUCCAUGAGUAGAGUGGCAAACGGGUGAGUAACACGUGGGUGACCUGCCUUCGAGUGGGGGAUAACGUCCCGAAAGGGACGCUAAUACCGCAUAAUAUGCUGUCUUUUUAAGAGAGAGACAUCAAAGCCGGGGACCGCAAGGCCUGGCGCUUGAAGAGGGGCCCGCGCCUGAUUAGCUAGUUGGUGGGGUAAUGGCUCACCAAGGCAACGAUCAGUAUCCGGCCUGAGAGGGCGGACGGACACACUGGGACUGAGACACGGCCCAGACUCCUACGGGAGGCAGCAGUGGGGAAUGUUCGCAAUGGGCGCAAGCCUGACGACGCAACGCCGCGUGGAGGAUGAAGAUCUUCGGGUCGUAAACUCCUUUCGAUCGAGACGAAUGGCCCUUGGGAUAAGUACCCUGAGGGAGUGACGGUACCGAGAGAAGAAGCCCCGGCUAACUCCGUGCCAG